UAGGGAAUCUUCGGCAAUGGGGGGAACCCUGACCGAGCAACGCCGCGUGAGUGAAGAAGGUUUUCGGAUCGUAAAGCUCUGUUGUUAGAGAAGAACGUGUGUGAGAGUGGAAAGUUCACACAGUGACGGUAACUAACCAGAAAGGGACGGCUAACUACGUGCCAGCAGCCGCGGUAAUACGUAGGUCCCGAGCGUUGUCCGGAUUUAUUGGGCGUAAAGCGAGCGCAGGCGGUUCUGUAAGUCUGAAGUUAAAGGCAGUGGCUUAACCAUUGUACGCUUUGGAAUCUGCAGGACUCGAGUGCAGAAGGGGAGAGUGGAAUUCCAUGUGUAGCGGUGAAAUGCGUAGAUAUAUGGAGGAACACCGGUGGCGAAAGCGGCUCUCUGGUCUGUAACUGACGCUGAGGCUCGAAAGCGUGGGGAGCAAA
rnacentral:rRNA from 1 species